rnacentral:rRNA from 1 species
GCGGAAUUCGUCGUGUAGCGGUGAAAUGCUUAGAUAUGACGAAGAACUCCGAUUGCGAAGGCAGCUGACGGGAGCGCAACUGACGCUGAAGCUCGAAGGUGCGGGUAUCGAACAGGAUUAGAUACCCUGGUAGUCCGCACAGUAAACGAUGGAUGCCCGCUGUUGGUACCUGGUAUCAGCGGCUAAGCGAAAGCAUUAAGCAUCCCACCUGGGGAGUACGCCGACAACGGUGAAACUCAAAGGAAUUGACGGAGGCCCGCACAAGCGGAGGAACAUGUGGUUUAAUUCGAUGAUACGCGAGGAACCUUACCCGGGCUUGAACUAACGGUGACGAAUCUAGAGAUAG